rnacentral:rRNA from 1 species
CAGCAGUCGCCGCGGUAAUACGAAGGGUGCAAGCGUUAAUCGGAAUUACUGGGCGUAAAGCGUGCGCAGGCGGUUUGUUAAGACAGAUGUGAAAUCCCCGGGCUCAACCUGGGAACUGCAUUUGUGACUGGCAAGCUAGAGUGUGGCAGAGGAGGGUGGAAUUCCGCGUGUAGCAGUGAAAUGCGUAGAUAUGCGGAGGAACACCGAUGGCGAAGGCAGCCCCCUGGGCCAACACUGACGCUCAUGCACGAAAGCGUGGGGAGCAAACAGGAUUAGAUACCCCUGUAGUCCCUGUCUCUUAUAC